rnacentral:rRNA from 1 species
UACGUAGGGUGGCAAGCGUUUGUCCGGAUUUACUGGGCGUAAAGGAUGCGUAGGCGGAUAUUUAAGUGGGAUGUGAAAAUACCCGGGCUCAACUUGGGUGCUGCAUUCCAAACUGGAUAUCUAGAGUGUGGGAGAGGAAAAUGGAAUUCCUAGUGUAGCAGUGAAAUGCGUAGAGAUGUGGAGGAACACCGAUGGCGAAGGCAGCCUCCUGGGCCAGCACUGACGCUCAUGCACGAAAGCGUGGGGAGCAAACAGG